GAUGAACGCUGGCGGCGUGCCUAAUACAUGCCAGUCGAGCGAACGGACGAGAAGCUUGCUUCUCUGAUGUUAGCGGCGGACGGGUGAGUAACACGUGGAUAACCUACCUAUAAGACUGGGAUAACUUCGGGAAACCGGAGCUAAUACCGGAUAAUAUUUUGAACCGCAUGGUUCAAAAGUGAAAGACGGUCUUGCUGUCACUUAUAGAUGGAUCCGCGCUGCAUUAGCUAGUUGGUAAGGUAACGGCUUACCAAGGCAACGAUGCAUAGCCGACCUGAGAGGGUGAUCGGCCACACUGGAACUGAGACACGGUCCAGACUCCUACGGGAGGCAGCAGUAGGGAAUCUUCCGCAAUGGGCGAAAGCCUGACGGAGCAACGCCGCGUGAGUGAUGAAGGGCUUCGGAUCGUAAAACUCUGUUAUUAGGGAAGAACAUAUGUGUAAGUAACUGUGCACAUCUUGACGGUACCUAAUCAGAAAGCCACGGCUAACUACGUGC
rnacentral:rRNA from 1 species